rnacentral:lncRNA from 1 species
CAGCCUGGAGAGGGUAAGCCAAAUGAUGAGUGUAAGCUACAGUCCUAGAAAGGGUCAAGCCAGACACCAAAGUUCACUAUCCAAAAGCUUGUGGGGGAAUCCAGACCUGGAACUGCAUUCAGACAAGAGAGCAGGUCCUUCCCAGAAACCUCAGGCUCCCACAUCUGCCACCAAAUACAUCAGCAAUCUAACCACAGUGAGGACAGACAUCCCUGCCCUGGAGGACACCAACACCAUGGAUGCUUGUCAGAGUAUUUCAAAGACGCCCUUCUUGCAUGUGCAGAAUGAAGAGAUGCCAAGAAAACACUUAAAUACUGGUAAUGAGAGGCAACCACUCAUAUCUCAGAAGCUAUCUUCUAUCAGCUGGAUUAUUUAUGCAGGUUUUCCAUUUGAGAAGUUUGCUUUUCCUCAUCUUUCAGCCUGUGCAUAA